AUUGAACGCUGGCGGCAGGCCUAACACAUGCAAGUCGAACGAGUGGCGGACGGGUGAGUAAUGUCUGGGAAACUGCCUGAUAGGGGGGGAUCAAUACUGGACACGGUCACUAAUACCGCCUACACUUCGAUGUGCCGAGAUGGGAUUAGCUUGUUGGUGGGGUAACGGCUCACCAAUGCCACGAUCCCUAGCUGGUCUGAGAGGAUGACCAGCCACAUUGGAACUGAGACACGGUCCAGACUCCUACGGGAGGCAGCAGUGGGGAAUAUUGGACAAUGGGCGCAAGCCUGAUGCAGCCAUGCCGCGUGUAUGAAGAAGGCCGUCGGGUUGUAAAGUACUUUCAGCGGGGAGGCGUUACCCGCAGAAGAAGCACCGGCUAACUCCGUGCCAGCAGCCGCGGUAAUAC
rnacentral:rRNA from 1 species